rnacentral:rRNA from 1 species
AUUGAACGCUGGCGGCAUGCCUUACACAUGCAAGUCGAACGGCAGCACGGGAGCUUGCUCCUGGUGGCGAGUGGCGAACGGGUGAGUAAUACAUCGGAACGUACCCAGGAGUGGGGGAUAACGUAGCGAAAGUUACGCUAAUACCGCAUAUUCUGUGAGCAGGAAAGCGGGGGAUCGCAAGACCUCGCGCUCUUGGAGCGGCCGAUGUCGGAUUAGCUAGUUGGUGAGGUAAAAGCUCACCAGGGCGACGAUCCGUAGCAGGUCUGAGAGGAUGAUCUGCCACACUGGGACUGAGCCACGGCCCAGACUCCUACGGGAGGCAGCAGUGGGGAAUUUUGGACAAUGGGGGCAACCCUGAUCCAGCCAUGCCGCGUGAGUGAAGAAGGCCUUCGGGUUGUAAAGCUCUUUCGGCGGGGAAGAAAUGGCAACGGCUAAUAUCCGUUGUUGAUGACGGUACCCGCAUAAGAAGCACCGGCUAACUACGUGCCAGCCGCCGCGGUAA